rnacentral:lncRNA from 1 species
GUCCGUCGGUUGGAUUGCUGGUGAGUCUGCUGUGGCUUGAGUUGUUGUUGGUGGUGUGGCUUUGACUGUUGCUGGUGUGACUUCUGCUGUUGCUGCUGCUUGGAUGGCUUGGACUGCUCCUCCACUUGACCUUUGAUGGCAUUCAGCAACCUAAGGGCACCCAUGCGAGGGCCCUCAGCAUGCUCCUCCUCAUCACUGCUGUUGUCAUCAGGGUUGGUUGGACUCUUCUGCACAGUAGCCUGUAGUGCAUUUAGAGCUUGUUUUUGGGGACAGUUCUUCACCAUGUGUGGCCCUCCACAC